CUUAUGGGUGAGGAAAAAAAGAUCCCAACGCAUUCGGAGUAGGAUGCGGAAUACAAUGUCUUUACAAGUUACUGGAUCGAUUGGCAAAAAUAAAAUUAACCUAGAAAGGUUGUUUGAAGAGUAUACCGGAAAAGAGAACAAUCUGGAAGAUAAGUUGUUUAAAGAUUUCGACGCAGGUUGCUCCUCCCUCAAGGACACAAAUAAGUGUGAAUUAGGCUUUAAGUAGAAUUGUGUUACGUAAUGCCAUGCCUAUGUUGCCAUGAGGUAACUAGUGCGGAAAUAAUGACAUUAAAUAUAUUAAUGGAAAUUUACUUUACCUAAAUAUCCAUGAAAAAACUUUCUAUAAAAGCCAUUGUACUCCACAAAGCUUAAAUUAGAAAAAUGUUAUAUUUUCAAUUACUAACUUUCUUUGUGAUAUUUGCUUCCGUUCGGACUUAUAAUCCAGAAAUCAUACCAGGGUUGACUGAGGCUGAACAAAAGGAAUAUAACAUAUGCCGUACAAGUGAGGAAAAAAAAAAUUCAGUCGAACUAGGAGUGGGAUGCGGAAUACAAUGUUUUUUGCGAGUUACUGGAUCGAUUGGCAAAAAUAAAAUUAACCU